UGUUCAGGGAUGGGAAACGAACCCACAAUGUUCCGCUUACCAGGUCAGAUGCCAUGUCCACUAGGCUAUCCCAUCCCUGGAC
rnacentral:tRNA from 1 species